rnacentral:rRNA from 1 species
CAGCCGCCGCGGGAAUACGAAGGGGGCUAGCGUUGCUCGGAAUGACUGGGCGUAAAGGGCGCGUAGGCGGCGAUCAAAGUCAGGCGUGAAAUUCCUGGGCUCAACCUGGGGGCUGCGCUUGAUACUUGGUUGCUUGAGUGGGGAAGAGGGUCGUGGAAUUCCCAGUGUAGAGGUGAAAUUCGUAGAUAUUCGGAAGAACACCAGUGGCGAAGGCGGCCCGCUGGACAUGUAUUGACGCUGAGGUGCGAAAGCGUGGGGAGCAAACAGGAUUAGAUACCCCAGUAGUCCCUGUCUCUUAUAC